rnacentral:rRNA from 1 species
UACGGGGGGGGCAAGCGUUGUUCGGAAUUACUGGGCGUAAAGGGCUCGUAGGCGGCCAACUAAGUCGGACGUGAAAUCCCUCGGCUUAACCGGGGAACUGCGUCCGAUACUGGAUGGCUUGAGUUUGGGAGAGGGAUGCGGAAUUCCAGGUGUAGCGGUGAAAUGCGUAGAUAUCUGGAGGAACACCGGUGGCGAAGGCGGCAUCCUGGACCAUUACUGACACUGAAAAGCGAAAGCCAGGGGAGCAAACGGG